UCCGUAGGUGAACCUGCGGAAGGAUCAUUAUUGAUUUUUCUAAUGAGGAGUUGAGUUGUUGCUGGCCUCUGGGGAUUAGUUUCUCCAAGGCAUGUGCACACCUUCUCUUUCAUCCACACACCCCUGUGCACUUGUGAGACAGUAAGGUUUCUUUUUUUGGGGGGCCUUGCUGUCUACUUAAUCUACACACACUCUAUUUAUUUUAAAACGAAUGUAAUUGAUGUAACGCAUCUAAUACUAAGUUUCAACAACGGAUCUCUUGGCUCUCGCAUCGAUGAAGAACGCAGCGAAAUGCGAUAAGUAAUGUGAAUUGCAGAAUUCAGUGAAUCAUCGAAUCUUUGAACGCACCUUGCGCUCCUUGGUAUUCCUUGGAGCAUGCCUGUUUGAGUAUCAUGAAAUCUUCAAAGUAAACCUUUUUUGUUAAUUCAAUUUAGGUCUCUUACUUUGGUCUUGGAGGUUAUUGCAGCUUCACACCUGCUCCUCUUUGUGCAUUAGCUGGAUCUCAGUGUUAUGCUUGGUUCCACUCAGCGUGAUAAGUUAUCUAUCGCUGAGGACACUGGUAAAAAGGUGGCCAAGGUAAACGCAGAUGAACCGCUUCCAAUAGUCCAUUGACUUGGACAAUUAUUUAUGAUCUGAUCUCAAAUCAGGUAGGACUACCCGCUGAACUUAAGCAUAUCAAUAAGCGGAGGA
rnacentral:rRNA from 1 species